rnacentral:rRNA from 1 species
GACGAACGCUGGCGGCGUGCUUAACACAUGCAAGUCGAACGGAAAGGCCCGGCUUUUGUGGGGUGCUCGAGUGGCGAACGGGGGAGUAACACGUGAGUAACCUGCCCUUGACUUUGGGAUAACUUCAGGAAACUGGGGCUAAUACCGGAUAGGAGCUCCUGCUGCAUGGUGGGGGUUGGAAAGUUUCGGCGGUUGGGGAUGGACUCGCGCCUUAUCAGCUUGUUGGUGGGGUAGUGGCUUACCAAGGCUUUGACGGGUAGCCGGCCUGAGAGGGUGACCGGCCACAUUGGGACUGAGCUACGGCCCAGACUCCUACGGGAGGCAGCAGUGGGGAAUAUUGCACAAUGGGCGGAAGCCUGAUGCAGCCACGCCGCGUGCGGGAUGACGGCCUUCGGGUUGUAAACCGCUUUCGCCUGUGACGAAGCGUGAGUGACGGUAAUGGGUAAAGAAGCACCGGCUAACUACGUG